CGGCCGCGACCCUCCCCGCCCGCCCGCAGGUGGGGGGAGCCCGGCCCGCCCCUUCCAGGCGCGCGGGUUUCUCCCGACAGCGUCGCGGAACCCGGAAAGCCGGGCGCUAGGGCUGCGUCUGCUGGGGCUGUGCUCGGGUCGCUUCCUCAACCUCCCGGAAACUGCAAAUUCCUCUGCGAGCCGUCCGCCCGCCCCCAGCCUCGCUGGCUCGAGUUUCGGAGAGGGCGGGAGCAGAGCGGGGAACUUUCUCUGCGUCCACUCCCUGCUCGCCCCCGCACCAGGGUCCUGUAGGGGUGGGUGGGGGUUGCCCGGCCGAGGGACCCCCCAGGUCCCACGGCUUCCUGCAGCCGCAACGCCCAGUCCUGAACCCCAGCAGCUCGCCCCUCCAGGAGGAUUUCAAGUUGGCAGAGAUGGGUGGGGAGGUCAAAAACUGGGUUGAGUUUAUUCGAAUGAAAACAUCCUUUCUGGUCAUUCAUUUGAGCUUCGGUCUUACCCUUUUCCCCUUCUUUCUAGCGAGGGCUCACUUCCAAAUAAGAUCGUUAUCUUAGGCGCACUCAGUGCAACUGAAAGGUGAACUAGUUCUAUAGUUACAGAACAAUCGAGUGCUUAUCAAUUAAAUGUGCUUUGUAAAUGUCCCCGCCACAAUCAGCCUUCCACGGUCACCCACAAGGCAUGGUUUAAGUGGUGGGGAUAAGGAGAUCAGGGAAUUCCAUCCAUCCACGUACAAAAAAAGUUUCCAUGUUUUCUAAAACUCUUCAGUCAGCUAAUCCUCUUAAAGCCACCAGUGGGUAACAGUCUUUUACACCUUGGUGUUACUGCACUGAUUUAAAUAAUACUAAUUUCAAGAUCUUGACUGAAAGGUUUUUUUGAAGCUGCAAGCCCUGCUAUAGUUAGCGAGCUUCAGAAGAGGUUUCAUUAGGAGGGGAAGAGAGACGUUAGAAAAGAGAAAAUGUCCAUCCAUCAUAGCCAAACUAGCCAAACUCUCUUACAUUAUCUCCUUCAAUCCUCCGAGCAACUCUGCAAGGGGCUUCUAGAAGCAGAGCUGAGGCUGGGAGAUUAAUGCUGUCCUCAAAGUGAAGAGUCACCACUACUUGUCAAGUCAUGUCAUCUCUGCAGCCACGUGCAUUUUGUAAACUGGGAAGAAUAAACAGACAUUUCUGACA
rnacentral:lncRNA from 1 species